AUACAUACAUUCACAAAUUCUGAUUCUAUAUUCCUUUUGUCUUUCUCUAUUUAAAUCUAUUCUUAUGUGAAGAGAAAUUAGUCACAUUUAUUAGUCCACUAGUCAUUAUGUCUAUCUGUAUAUAUCUUAUAUGCAUAUGCUUGGGAAUGUAAUAUUGAUGUCUUUAUGUGUUUCAACAUUAGCUGACUGCCAUGAAGUAUUAUUAUAUGAUCCAAACAGGGCCCAUACAAUUAUGCUGUUCCACAGAGAACAAGAAAGUCAUUUCCAAAAAUACAAUGAUAAUUCUGAAGGACUUUCCUUUUAGUUUAGUUUACCAACAUUGUGUAUCAAUAUAUAACUAUAUGUAACGCAAAUUCCCUUUCGAAACCUUGAAGAGUUGCCAUAACUGUGAGAGCUCCAUUUUUUUGCAUGUACCUCCUAUGUUUACGCCACUUGUAAUAAAUGCAUACCACUCUCAGUCUGACGUAUUAAAUCAAAUAGGAAACUAUACUACGAAAAUUGGGGGUUAAUUUAUUAAUCUGCACAAUGAAAAUUUAGUAGAAAAAUAAAAUCCAUAUCCAAAAUAAAAUCUAUGCCAUACUUUUGUAAUAAUUCCUUGAGCUGCCUGCCAGUGAGUCCCAUAUAAUGACACCCUUGAAAUCUAGAUAUGUCUGUCUACUACAUAGUUGUAGCUACUCCCAUGACAUCCCUUGAUUUAGUAUUUGUAUCUUUAAGGAAAAGAAACAAGAGAAGCGGAUCAACUAGAAUUUAAACUUUUAAAGUGCAGUUAUCCAGCUAUAUAAAAUGUUAUUAAUCUUUAAUCUAGUAAGAUUCAAAGCCAUAAGGCUUCCUAUCACAUGCAUAUGUGUGAAGUGCUAGUAUGGUAUCAUGCGAUUCAUUACUUUUGGAGUUGUGACAGAUAUGUCAUCAUGUUUUUGGAGUAUGUGUCGACUCGUAUCACUUUCAUCUAUAGGUUCAUGAUUGAAAUGCCAUAACACAAUCAUAUGGAAUGUUACAUAUGGAUAGUGCUUCUCAGGCUUGGAAUUUCAUAUAGUAUCAAGAAUUUGCAAAAUCGAUAUUGCAUCCCAUACCUGUCAGGUACCAGGCCUAUAUGGUACAGUAUCAUACCAUACUAAAAUAUGGUAUGCACGCUAAACAUGGUAUGCAUGGUUGUGCCAGUUAGGCUCGGGUUUGACCUAUUAAGGUUUUUGCCCCGGGUCUAGAGAGGGGAAGUGAGGGAGAGAGGCCAACGAAUCUAGGAUUUGACCUAGAUUUUGAUGGGGGGAGUGGGGGCAGAAGGGUGACCGGUAUCCUACCAGUGGUUGGCAAAGCAGCAGAGAAGAUGGUGAACAUGGUGAGAAGGAAAAGGCCAGCAUCCUACCAUUGGCCUAGGCGGAUGAGGAUGGUGAGGUGGCAAGCUCGAUCUAGUAGGUGGUCGGAUGAAGGAGCUAUAGUGGCGUGGGACAAAGAGCCUCCAUCAAUGGAUCGAGAGAGAGAGAGAGAAGAUCAAGCGAAUGAGGAUUUGGGGAGGGUUGGGGUAUUUUAAGGGAUUGGUUCGACCUUGAACCGGUAGGUGUUGAUCAAAAACUGAGUCAAACCAAGCGCAACUGGGCAGUUCUACUCGGUUUGGAUUGGUUCACACCUAUUCCAAACCAAUAUGCAGAACCAUCCUGGUUCCAUGUUGGUUUGGUUCUAUACAUUGUGAAUCGGGUAGUUUAUUAUGGCUA
rnacentral:lncRNA from 1 species